UAUUAUCAAUUGUACAGUGAUAUUGUGUAUUGUUGUACUUAAUAUUAACAUUUCAGUAAAUAGUGUGCAAGAUGGAAUUGGAACACGUGGUUUGUGUGAUUUGUAACGAAGACACUGACGAAAAAACUGUACGAUUUACAGAGACUACGUUGAAUAAAAGUAAAUCAAAGUAGUAAGCUAUGAUUCAUCGAAUUUACCACCCUGCAAACGUGAACUACAUCAACAAUUAUUGAGAACUGCCUACAUUACAAAUAUAUGGCGAAAUUGUAAUUUAAAAGAACCAACAAUUCUUACACCUGAAAAUAACGGUUGGAACUUAAUUGAUAGUCGUUACGAAUUUAAUUGGUUUGAGGGGAAUACGGUUCUAUCUUCUAUAUACGACAUACUUUUACAAGGACCUGCUGAUACUGCCACAGCACAAUCGACUGAAACUGACGAAUGCAUUUCAGAUGAGGAAAACAUUGUUAAAGAAUCAGAUGAUGAUGAAAACAGUGAUAGCGAAAUUUCGGAUGAUGCUGAAGAAAAUGAAUGAUAAAAAUAAUGUAGAUUGCAUAAAACCCAAUAAAAUACAUUGCAUUUACUGUA